CACUCUCCUGGUGUGUCAUUCCUAUGCACCAGGAGAGGGCCGGCAGAAGGGAGAUGCUGGUCAGGGAUGUCUGGAUGCACUCGUAGACUUCUUAAUCCUUGGGAAUGAUCAAUGGUCCUCUGUGGAGUGGUUACUCCAACUACCCAGAACCUGACUAUCGACCAUCACCCAAAGGAUCUUUUUAUCGGCCGGCCCAAGACUGUAGAAUGACCUGCUGGAAGAGCUUCGACAGCUAAAUGAGCUGUCGGAAUUUAAGAGCAAUCUAAAGACUUGUCUCUUACACCAGGCCUACCUAGACAUUUUUAAGCAUGAAUUUUAAACAUGUGUCCUUUACUUAAUCUCUGUUUUGUAUACGUAUUUUAAUAUGUACUUUACAGAAAUAUGUUUUGAUAUGUAUCUUUUAUAGAAAUAUAUUUAAUAUGUGUAUUUGUAUUACAAUGUUUAUAUGUUUUAAUUAUUCUGUAACCCACCUCGAGCCACAAGGAGCGGCAGUAAAGAAAUAAAAUUAUUAUUAUUAUUA